UAUAAAUAUGUUUUUGAUUUUCGUAUAAUCCCAAUAAUAUGGUUUGGGAGUUUCUACCGGGAACCAUAAAUAACCCGACUACGGAGGAUUAUUUCCUUCGU
rnacentral:ncRNA from 2 species